rnacentral:misc_RNA from 1 species
AAAUGCGCUAAGUAGUGUGAAUUGCAGAAUUCAGUGAAUCAUCGAAUCUUUGAACGCACAUUGCGCCCCUUGGUAUUCCAUGGGGCAUGCCUGUUCGAGCGUCAUUUGUACCCUCAAGCUCUGCUUGGUGUUGGGUGUUUGUCCCGUCUCCGCGCGUGGACUCGCCCCAAAGUGAUUGGCAGCCGGCGUACUGGUCCCGGAGCGCAGCACAUGUCGCGCAAACGAGUGCCUUGGUACGGCGGCGUCCAUAAGCCCCUCUCUCACGCUCUUGACCUCGGAUCAGGUAGGGAUACCCGCUGAACUUAAGC